CACGUAGGGCGCGAGCGUUGUCCGGAAUUAUUGGGCGUAAAGAGCUCGUAGGCGGCCUGUUGCGUCCGCUGUGAAAGCCCCGGGGCUUAACCCCGGGUCGGCAGUGGAUACGGGCAGGCUAGAGGUAGGUAGGGGAGAAUGGAAUUCCCGGUGUAGCGGUGAAAUGCGCAGAUAUCGGGAAGAACACCGGUGGCGAAGGCGGCUCACUGGCUCAUUUCUGACGCUCAGGCGCGACAGCGUGGGGAUCAAACAGG
rnacentral:rRNA from 1 species